ACAUAUAUGUAUAUAUUCCAGCCUCCUCGCCCUCUUCUUUCUUUUCUCAAACUGGGAGGGCAGCCGGGGAGUCUAGUGUGGGAGAAAGCUCGGAAGGCAGCCCAGUACCGUGGAACGCCGCCCUCUUUCUCGCUGCUACCAAUCCGGGGACUGGUGGAGGGCGCUGCUACAUUGUAUCUAUUCAAAGGGAGUCGGACCGAGAGCAGCUAGGCGCUGACGCACGGGAGGCGCGUGAUUGACGCAGGCGAGGUUUCUAAAUUUAGCAGUUGGCCCGGGCCCUGCCGCCGCCGCGCGCCGGAGAUAGCGGAUGGUCUGGAAUGGAACCUCUAAUAUCUCUGAGAUAUACUAUAUGGCAUAAAGUGAAGAAGAAUUACAAAACCUCUUGAUGAGGAUGAAAGAGAAGAGCAUAAAAGCUAGCUUGAAACUUAACAUUAAAAAAAACCCAAAACUAAGAUCUUGGCAACUGAUUCCAUCACUUCCUGGCAAAUAAAAGGAGAAAAAAAUGGAAGCAGCAUCAGAUUUUAAAUUCUUGGGCUCAAAGAUCACUGCAGAUGGCAACUGCAGCCAUGAAAGUAAAAGAUGCUUACUCCUUGGAAAGAAAGCUGUGGAAAAUCUGGACAGCAUACUAAAAAGUGGAGACAUCAUCUUUCUGACAAAGGUGUCCUUUCAUGUCUAGGAAUGCCAUUGGAGGAGAAAAACAAACAGAAAGAAAAGUCUGGAAGCAACAGAGUCUUUUGCUUGCCUUGUUUAUAAUAUUAUUUGAGAUGUUGCACUACAGCUCCAGAUCUCAUUCGAUGCAAAAUGAGACUUGUCAUGAAGAAAUAUACAAAAUGGUAAAAUGAAGGUGGGAAUCAUGUGAAGGUAAUUAAGUAAAAAUGAACAGAAUGGUACAGCUUAAAAGAUUUGUUUAUCACAAAGAAGGGUCUUCAUGGUAAGAUUAAAAAAUUGUAAAAGAGAUAAGCAGACCAACAGAAGCAUAACGAACAAACUUGUAGAAAGUGAAACAAGACUUUUAUUGAAAUCAACCAGUGAUUAGGAACUAUGCUUCAUUUGAUGUGUAAGCAAUAAACAGCAAAUUUAUUAUUCUCUGUCUACUUAAACUUUCCCCCCAGAUAAUAAUAUUGGUUUAUAAUUCUCAAAUAAUUACCACACUUCCAAUUUCCCCUCUUCAUAAGCAUAUUAAAUAUUCUUAACAUGCUGACUUUAAAUGAACUCUUUCUCCUUAAAUUAAUUUAUCAGUAUACUCAGGUCAUCACUACAUUUGUCUGGGAAAGCGGCAGAAUCCAGUUUUAAUUUUUUUCAUGUUAUCCAGGCUCCUUUUUCCUUUGGUAAAAUCCUUAUCUUUUUCUCAUGAGGACCAAUUUCUUUUCUCUAUAAUAUUUAGAUAAUUGCCCAUUGCCAUUUUUCCUGACACUGGUUUUUUAUAUUAUACUUUUUUUUUUCUUUCCCCUUUCACUGCUUGCAUGAGCAAAUGCAUGUGAGCAUGCAUGAAUGUGCGCAUACACACACACCUUAUACAAAUUUUAUCUUGUCUUUUGCCUACAUAUUAAACUAUAUUUUUACUAAAAUUAUUAAAAGGCAGCUGAGAUAGCAUAGUAAAUAGAAUGCUGGAGUUAGUCAAGAAUUAUACAAAUAGAGGGACUAAAACAUUCAUACCCUUUGAACUAGUGAGUCAUUUACUAGAUUUAUACCCCAGGGAAGCCAUUGAUAAGAAAAAAGUCCCUAUUUAUGACACAAUAUUUAUAGUAGCAAUUUUUAUAAUAGCUAAUAAGAGUUGGAUACAGAGUUGAUGUCUAUCAAUUGGAGAAUGACUAAACUUAUGGUACAUAAAUA